rnacentral:miRNA from 1 species
GAUCUGCACAGCUCAGGGCCGCCGGGUGGCAGGAGUAUUCUUGCUGUCCUGUGCCCUCCUGGCUUCUGCCUAUUCGGGGGUGAGCGCCGGAUCUUGGGCUGUGUCCCCGGUGCCCUGUGCUCCCGGGCCUGCGCUCUUGGAAU